rnacentral:rRNA from 1 species
CCUGGCUCAGGAUGAACGCUGGCGGCGUGUCUUAGGCAUGCAAGUCGAAUGCCCGCAAGGGCAUGGCAAACGGGUGCGUAACACAUUGGUAACCUACCCCUUGGCGAGGCAUAAUCAACCGAAAGGUUGGAUAAUUCCUCAUAGUCUCGUUGCACGCAAGUGCAACGAGUAAAGAUUUAUCACCAAGGGAGGGGCCUAUGGUCCAUCAGCUUGUUGGUAGGGUAACGGCCUACCAAGGCUACGACGGAUAGCGGGUAUUAACGUACGACCCGCCUCACCGGGACUGAAACACUGCCCGGACUCCUACGGGAGGCUGCAGUCGAGAAUCUUCCGCAAUGCCCGAAAGGGUGACGGAGCGACGCCGCGUGCAGGAUGAAGGCCUUCGGGUCGUAAACUGCUUUUCCCAGGGAUGAAUUUCUGACAGUACCUGGGGAAUAAGGGACUGCUAACUUCGUGCCAGCAGCAGCGGUAAUACGAAGGUCCCAAGCGUUGUCCGGUGUUAUUAGGCGUAAAGCGUCCGCAGGUGGUUGCGCGCAUCUCUGGUCAAAUCCUACGGCUCAACCGUAGGGCUGCCGGAGAGAUGGCGCAGCUUGAGGCAGGGAGAGGCACGUGGAAUGGCUGGUGUAGGAGUAAAAUCCGUUAAUCUCAGCCAGAACACCAAAUGCGAAGGCAGCGUGCUGGAACUGUCCUGACACUCAGGGACGAAAGCGUGGGUCGCGAAUGGGAUUAGAUACCCCAGUAGUCCACGCCGUAAACGAUGGGUACUAGGCAUUGAGAGCUCGACCCUCCCAGUGCCGCCUCUAAAAAAGCAAACGCGUUAAGUACCCCGCCUGGGGAGUACGGCCGCAAGGCUAAAACUCAAAGGAAUUGACGGGAAUUCGCACAAGCGGUGGAGCGUGUGGUUUAAUUCGAUAGUAAGCGAGGAACCUCACCAAGGCUUGACAUCCUCGGAAUCCUCCGGAAACGGAGGAGUGCCUUCGGGAACCGAGUGACAGGUGUUGCAUGGUUGUCGUCAGCUCGUGUCGUGAGACGUUCGGUUAAGGAAGGGACGACGUCAAAUCAGCAUGACCCUUACGCCUUGGGCUACACACGCGCUACAAUGGCCAGUACAAAGGGACGCCAAGCGGCAACGCGGAGCUAAUCCCCUAAAACUGGUCUCAGUUCGGAUUGGGGGCUGCAAUUCGCCCCCAUGAAGCCGGAAUCGCUAGUAACCGUGUAUCAGCCAUGGCACGGUGAAUACGUUCUCGAAUUUUGUACACACCGCCCGUCAAAUCAAGGGAGUCGGGGGUACCUGAAGGUCCGCAUUAGCGGGCCCAAGGUAAAACCGAUGACAGGGAUUAAGUCGUAACAAGGCAUCCGUAGCGGAAGCUGUGGAUGGAACAACUCCUUUCUAGGGAG